CCGGACCGGCGCACGGGUGAGUAACGCGUAUGCAACUUACCUAUCAGAGGGGGAUAACCCGGCGAAAGUCGGACUAAUACCGCAUGAAGCAGGGGCCCCGCAUGGGGAUAUUUGCUAAAGAUUCAUCGCUGAUAGAUAGGCAUGCGUUCCAUUAGGCAGUUGGCGGGGUAACGGCCCACCAAACCGACGAUGGAUAGGGGUUCUGAGAGGAAGGUCCCCCACAUUGGUACUGAGACACGGCCAA
rnacentral:rRNA from 1 species